CAUUGCAUGUUACAGGGCCUGGGUCCAAGUCCAAGCUCCACUCUCCGUUCCAGCUUCCUGCUAACACAGACCUGGGAGACAGCAGAUAAUGACUCAAGGAAUUGGUUCCUGCCAUCCACAUGGAAAACUCAGUUUAGGACUCCUCACUCUGACCUGGCCCAGACCUGGCUAUUACGAAUUCCCUGGCACCGUCUGUCCAAAGCAAUCAACACUGAAGAUACCGAUCUUCCAUCUGCUUGUUCAUUCCCCAAAAGCCUGCAACAGCCAGGGCUGGGUCAAGUCAAAGUUCCAUCCACGUCGACCAUGUGGGGGGCAGGAGUUCAAGGAGUCCAAGCCUCUGAACGGUCAUCGGCUGCCUUCCAGGAUACAUUAGCAGGAAGCUGGAGCAGAAGCCUAGGUAGGUGCUGGAAUUUGACUCGGCCUCCAAUACAGGAUGCAGGCAUCCUGUGCAGUGGCUUCAUCACGAGCCUUACACCCGCCCCCAGCGCUGUCAUUUCACCCAUGCCCUCUCUGGACUCACAGCUAUUGGACAUUAUGGUUUGUCAAGGUCAGGACUGUGCAUGGAUGGGGAAAUGAGAAACUGAUUCAGGUGUGGCUGCCACUCUCAAGGUGCUGUGGACUUAAUGGUGCUCCUCCCUCCUCCCAAACUCAUAUCCUGAAGUCCUAGCCUCUAAUGGAGCUGCAUUUGGAGGCAACGCCUCUAAGGAGGUUGUUAGGUACAAGUGGGGUUAUGUUGGUGGGCCCUGGUCUGAUAGGAUUAAUGUCCUUACAAGAA